GCUAAUCCUGGUUGUGACUCAAAAUGUUGCUUCUUUUUGUUAAAGGAAGGGACUUUUAGAUGCUUCUUCUGGUCUCCUGCAGCCCUAAAAUUACAUGAUCCUUUUAACUAUUCCAAAUGUCAUAAAUGUUUUUCAUUUUUGUUGUUUUUUUUUUCAAACUCGGUACCAUUCUUCUAUUUUCUAAUCAAAACUUUUUAAAAGUAUCUGUUAUUUUUCACAAGCGCUCAGUCUUUCAGACUCCACUUUUGCGAAGCCCUGGGGAAAAGAUUUCAUUUUCCCCACUAGAUUCAGUCUAUGUAGGGAAAAUCCUUAGAGACAAUUUCAACUUUGUGCUUUUAUGAGGCCUCUUUCAAAGUAUGCUGUGUGAAGACUUCAUGAUCUGGAUUCUAGACUGAAGACUUGUGCUGGGGUUGAGGAAUGUGUUGUAUGCUUUUGCAAAAGAACAUAUUUUUAAAAUAUCUACAUGGGAAAGAAAACUUUCAGUUUUCUGCUUCCAAACCAGGGACGCUGUAAUGUAGCGGAAAAUGUACAAGACUCGGCAUUCAUAGAUUUCUGUUCACGUUCUUGUUCAUCAGUUACUGUGUAUGUGAGCCCAACCAAGUUGCUUAAAUCUCUCUGGGCCUUAGUUUCCUCAUCUGUAAAGUGGGAUGACAGAGGGCAGAGGCAGGUAGUACCUAUUUCACAGAAUUCUGAGGCUAAAAUGUGAAAGUAACUUUCUUGAAACUCCUUUUAAGUUGUGACAUAUCCACAGAAGGGACUAACAUGUUGUAGAGUUGUUUUCAUUGUAAAUAAUUUCAUCCCAUGUAUGAAUCAACCAUGAUGACCUCAAGAACUAAAAUAGCCUCCUGCACUAUUUCUCUUUAGCAUCAUGAGGCUCAGCUCCACAGAGGCCCCUGGGUUAGGUAGAAAACAGAUUAUUUUGUUGACGGAUAUUCAUUUAACAAAUAUCUUUUGAGCAUCGACUGUGAGCUCUGCACUUUGCUAACUACAUACUGAGAAUUCUGAUAUUAGUUCACCAUCUAAUAUAGCCUGUUAAAAACUACAUACCGUUAUACAUUUAAAAUAAAUAUUCCAUCUGCAAAUAUUUAAUACAUAGCCACUAUAUGCCAGGUCUAUAAUAUGCAGAUUUUUAAAGGAGAGGUAAAAGGUGCUACGGGGAUUAUAACAGAUCAAGUCUUUUUGUUGUUGUUGUUGUUGGAAAGGGAAAGAAAGUUAAUGUAAAAACUGGAAGCAGAACUCCUCAGGGAAUUAACAGCAAAAUACCUUGAUGGACUGUCCCAGUUAAGAAGGGUAACCCUUGGGCCAGGGGUGGGAUGAGUAGAAGAGAGAAGUAAAAAAUUAAAUAUUAAAAUAAAGUAAGAAUUUACAUGCUGCUAGUAUACAAUAAAAUAAGAUUCCUAGGGGAGGCUACAGCUCAGUGGUAGGGCAGGGACUUAGCAUGCAUGAGGUCCUGGGUUCAAUCCCUAGUAGUGCCAUUAAAAUAAAUAAACCUAAUUACCCCCCAAAAAACACCAAAAUUUUUAAAAAUAAGAUUUCUAAAUUUCUCCAAGGAAUCUCAAAAACAAGAGAGUAAAGGGACCUAGAAUAGAAGAAACCUGAGGGAAAUUAAAGGAGGAAACAGAGUUGGUGGGGAGGGAGGCAGAGAGAGAGAGUGGGGCAAGAAAGACUCGGCCACAAGAAGAUGGCCAGUAAGAAGCUCCCAGUGGUUGCUUCCAGCUGUGACAACUGUGUUGCACAACUCCAGGAAGAGAUAUCAACCUCCGGUUCUUAUAUUUAUGAAACAAGUUCUCAGCAGAUGGCAAUAAAAGUCUCAAGGAAAAUGAAACUCCCCACUCCCAAUUCACACAUCAUUCAAAUUAGCAGGAAUACACUGGCUGGGGAGAAUUUUGAAAAGAGCUGUUCAGUUUUACAUUGCUUCUGGCAACGUAGUCCUUACUCUUGGGCAUCACCUCAAAAUAUUCACUGAAAUUAUACCUUACAGAAUUUCCUUGUAUGGACGGGAUUUUGACAACCUCAAGGGAAAAGGUCAGUGGAUGGUAGCUGGGAAGGAAGAGGUAUUCAGGGAGACAGUGGCAAGAGGUCAGGAGCUCAGCAGACGCCCGAAGUCAUCAGGCCCGUUUUGCCCGAUGCACAGCGAGCCCAAACGUUGAGAUGUGAGGUGUGCAGUAAGGUGAGGGCUCAUUUAAUAGGCAGCCAAGCAAGGAGAUGGGAGAACAAUCUCAAAUCCACCCCACUGAAGGCAAGGGGCUUGAGGUAUUUACGAGAUAACAAAGAAGCAGGUGAUAUGAGGCGCGGGGAGUGUGGGGAAAUGUGACUGGAAAGCGUUGCAGUAAUGGUCGUUCUGGGCAGGUCACACAGGGCUUGGCAUCUUCUAGGGGUGGAGUUUUUGGUCCUCCGAUUUCUAAAGGUCAUCCAGCGGACACUUGUGCACGCCCAGUUGAACAGCUGGGGGUCCUAUCUUAACUAUCCAGUCUUAACCGGCUCAACUCAAGCUAGAUGCAGCUGACUCCAAGUUCCUAGAAAACUCCUUGGGCAAACAUCUUAUUGUUGAGGCCACGAGCCACUCGAAGACACGCAAGUCUUAAAACAACCUUGAUCAGUAAAGGCAGGUAAAAUGGACUGAACUCACUGUGUCACCAACCAUAUCAGAUGAGUCUUUCAAACGAAAUUCCCUCCUGCCCAACAGAUACUCAAGCCAUUCUGUUGAUUCUUCAUCUUUAAAGGCACACACAAAAGGGGCUACUAGUUUUUAAACUUUACCUACCAGGUAUGGUCUGAUGAGCAAAUUUCUGGACAACGUGACCAAGAAACGUGGAGCCAUCUCUCUCCCACCUGAACUUACGUGACUUAGGAAAAAUCCCUUCACCUCCCUGAACUUCAGGUGAAUUUCAAAAACAUGCUGCCUGCACGCGCUUAACCUGUCACCCAUCGCAACCUGGUUUCUUCCACCACCAUUCUCCCUGAAGCUCCUAAGAAUGCAGAAACCUCCUAAGAAUAAGAAGCCAAGCAGAACAACAAAGAGUGAUCCUAACACUUCCAUUCCCAUCACCUCACUCAGCAAAAAAGACCUGCCAAUAUCGGUAUCUUCAUACACCUCGAAAGCCAUCAGGGAAUACUAAUUACACACCAAGACCAAGCCUUUAACUCAGGAAAAUAAAUUGGGACCUGAAGAUGGAAGAGCCUCAGCUGAGGCUCAUGGUUGGGAAAACGGCCACAGCCAACAGACUUGUCAUGAAGAGAUGCUUGUCAUGAAGGUGUGACACUUCAUCCCAGAGAUGCAAGAAGCAAAAGGGAUUCAAACAGAAUCGGAAAGGACACGGGAGCCUGGAAAUGAGCUUUCCUCAAAAAGUGUCACUGUGGCUUUUCAACAGAAUGAGUCUGAAAAUGUAUUCUCCUUUAGUGGAUUCACUGGUCAUCAGGAUCUGCUUGUACCAGAGAAAGAAACAAAAGACAACAUAGACCCAAACCCCUGGCACUGCAAGAUGAUUUUGAAGUGCUGGCAAAACGUUCUAGGAGACGAACAUGAAAAGGAACUCUGGUCUUGCAAACAUUUGCUGGUGAGCCCCGUCCUGCAGUAACGCACCCCUAGUGCUGAGUAUUCUGAUCUUUUGGUCAAAAACUAGGCAGGAGUUUUGCUCCCAGCUUUUCUCCUCCUCAACCUGGACGGAAAUUCCUUUCUUUCUGACCAUCUGGUCUCCUCAUUUAACUUGGCCAAGCCCAGCUUGACAACUCUCCCCCACUGUGAUGGCACAAAGGGAAGCAAAGGAGACCUGAAAUCAGCCUGAUACAGUCUCAGACUUCAAUUCCAUGCUACUUAUGUGAAAUAAACCAUCAAAGUGAUAUAUGAGGGAACAAUGUGCAGCAAAGCCAUGUUCAUUCAAAACUAAAGGCAGGGAAGAAAUGGAUUUAGAAUAAAUAGUUCUGAUGCUUUGGGAUGAAAUGACUGGAAAUUCUAUCCCACUGAGCCUUACUUCAAAAUAGUAAUUGCCAACAGCACUGGCGUUAAUCUUCAGUCAACAGAGCAUUUUUACAAAUGGGAGGACAUCAAAGAGGAGCAUAAUACUAAUUUAUAUUGGCCUCUUUCUAUUUUCCAAGCCCUUUCAGACUGGAUACCUCAAUUCAUCCUCUCCUAAAUUUUGGAAGAUAGAUCAAGCAGGAUUUAUUCAACCAAUCAUUCAUCUAUUCAACUCGUGUUUAUUGGAUGCCUGGCACUAUUUUAGGUCUGGAAGACACAAAGCAUUGAUUUAAACAGAUGAAGUUCCUAAUCUCAUGGAGCUUCUGCUACAAUAGGAGAAAAAGACAAUAAGCAAAUGUGAACAAAUACAGACUCUCUCAGAUGGGAGAGGUGGGAUUAAAGCAGAAGAUGAAAAGGCAAGAAUGCAGAUGUGACAGUUGGAGCUCUAGAUGCUACACUGGACUGUGAGGCCAAGGGCCAACCUCUGGAUGGCACAGUGGUGAGCUGAAGAAGCUUAAGUUCCCAAGGACUUCACAGAACAGAUUCAUACCUGCCUAUACAGAUAAUCUCCAGACAUUUAUUUAGUGUCUCUGUUUCUAGCAGUUGAGCCUAGUCCUAAACGGUAUAAUCGUUCCAGCCACUGUGUGGAUAAUAAACUAUAAAAGGAACAAGGGCAAAUACAAGGAUAAUCUCUUUUCAUGAGUGAAAACCCAGAGACUUGAAGAAGUUAAGUGAAGGAGAUAAGGACUGUGGUUAAAAGCCCUGGCUUUCAAAGUCAACAAACCCACCUGUAUUUCAAUCGUGCCUCCAAAACUUUCUAGCUUGGUAACCCUGGGCACAUUCCUCAGCCCCUUUAAGCCUUGAUUUCCUCAUCUGUAGUAGGGGGAUGAUAAUGAUACCUACCUCCCACUAUUACAGUGAGGAUUACAUGAAAUAAGUUAUGUGAAAAGAUUUAACAGGGCCGGGCACGGAGUUGGACUCCCCAGCUGCGGGUGCUCUGUCUCCCCUCUUCUUCUCUCUACCUUGCCACACCUCCCGUGCAUGCCCAGGAAAUCGAUCCUUCCAAGAUUAGUGCACAUCACACACAAUUAAGGACAAGUGCUCUUGUUAGUAAGGGAGGAAGAGAAGGAGAGAGAGAGGAGAAAAAGAAGCCUCAGCACAGGGAUGUGAUGGACUUUCAGGUUGUCAGAAGCUCUGGAUUCAUAGGAGGAAACGUCAGCACCGGAGGCGCUGAGAGAUCUAAGGGAAGGCAGCCAGCAGUUCAGCCCUCAGCCUGGGGCCUGGGGAUGCUCGCAGGGCUCCGAACUGUUCACGACCUGACCCCCUUCUCUUCUGUCCCCUUCUCUCUCUUGUUUGCCUCUUCUCCUUCCUCUUCCAAAAUCCAAAUAGGAAUAGUGGAAAGCUUGCUAUAUCAUCUGAUUCUCCGGCUGUUUUUCCUCAGAGUGACUGAAUUUUUCACUGGCCCAGCAGGAUGUUUGGAGACCGUGUGGAGAGCAAUCUCUGUGUGUUUUUUCAUCUGCGUACUAGGCUUUGGAAUGCAAAGAAGCAAUUAUAUCUUUCCUUUCUGGUAGCAGAUUCUCUUCCUAAUUAUGUUUUGCUCAGGCUAAUAUGAAAAUGAAUUGGCUUCCUGUGACAACAAUACGUGUAAUAAUAACAGGAAAUGGCCCAGAAUCACAAAAUAAUAAAAAUAGAGCUGGAGGGGAAGCAACACAACUCUUGAGAACAUUUUGCUGCUAUGCUUUUCCAUCCCUUCCCAACCCAUUUUAUCUGUCUAUCCAACUACUCACAGAUUCAGAAAACUAUUAAUUGAUUCAGAGAACUGUUUAUAACCAGUGGAACUAACACAGGGCCUAAAAAAUUCAACUUUUCUCCUUAUAUUAGAAAUUUCUGAAACACCAACUACCAAAAAUUAGAAAAAGACAGGCGUGUCAGUUUCUGUAUAAAGACUUAGCCUGUAUUAUGCCUAAUACAACUGUUUGUAAAACAGACUGAGUGGUAAUAGUAUGCUUCCAUUAAUCAUAGUCUACACUGAAGGCUCUGAUAAGUCCUGUAGAAAAGCAACCUGGCUGCAUUUGUCUAACCUAGUAAGGCACCAAUUUAUCUAACCAUGGAAACUUCUUUUCCUUCUUUCAUUGACUACCCAUGAAUUUUUGAAUUAGCAUUACGGAAUAUAAAUUUUUCAGGGUUUUGGUUCUCAAGGGAAUGCUCUACUUGUGUUCUGAAUGCAGCCUCCUAUGCAUUUAGCCUUUAAUUCAGUUAACUGAUUAUUUAGGUCUCCAAGAAGAGGCUAGUCUCUUAACAACAGUAGCUUCUGUUCAUCAAUAUACUUAAUUCAACCAGAAAUUUAGCAGGUAAAAUGUCUUUGCCUUUGCAAGCUGAUAACCAUCAUCUUGACCUUACCUGAUCAGGUAUUCAUUCAGAAGGAGGGAAAGGGGAUAUCUAAGCUCCAAAGCACUUUCUUUCCUUCUCUCCCUGCACAGGGAGUUCUUGGUCUCAACUCUACCAUAGGAUGGAAACUCAGGCCAGUUCACUUCACACACAGAGAGAGGUGAGAACCAAUGGCGAUCUCUUCACUUACCUCCAUCUGGGGAAUGGAGGUUCCAUUGUAAAUCCAAGGACUCACUGAGUGAAUGGGUGGGUGAUGAGUCUAUCCCGUGUGUGUAUUAAAUGAGGUGACAGAAGACAAGACCUAGGUCAGAGUUCAGGGAAAGCCAGUCUGAGCAUGCUCACUUGGCCCAGGCUGAUCCAGUAGACUUGGUAUACACCAAGCCACAAUUACUAAGCACGUUUCAUCAAUGACAAUUCCCAAAAGGGGUCACGCACAGUACCAAAGCCCAGCUAAGCCCAAGAGGGGUCAGCCCGUGGACACAACGGCUUUUUAUUAGGUGAGACAGCUGUUCCGAUCUCUGUUGCCAAUUAGGUCAUCAUUAGACUCAGGCAACACUUACUGAUAGCGGAGAUGCCAUUGAGAGGAGACAUUAACACCUUUACCGCUGACCGUAAAUCAGGGGCCACUCCGGCUGUCUGAGGGCAUCUGCAGAAACACCUCCCUCUGGCUUUUCCAGCUAGGGGUUCCCUCUGUCCCUCUACUCCCGGAAUAAUGCACAGCUGGAGGGGCUGUCUAAAUCCCCACAUGCUGCGGGAGCAGUGAGAGCUUCCUGGGCAAAGGUGAUGAGCUCCGUGGAAAGUAUUACACCAAAACGUCCAUGCUUUUUGCUUUCUAAAAUAAUACACACAUAGAGUAGAAAAUCUAGGGAAUUACAGACAGUCAAAGGGAAGGGAAUAGAGAUCACUCAGAAUGUCAUACUCUUAAUGUAGCUCUUUCUAGCCUUUUUCUCUGCACUUUCUUUUUAUUUCUACAGAGUUGAAAAUUAUGCUGUUCCUAUUUUUAAAAAAAGUAUAAAAGCAUCUGUUUCAUUCCAGUCUGGCCACACUGUCCCCCUUGAGAUUCUCCAAACACUGCAGGUACGUUUGUACCUCAUGGCCUUUAAACUUGCUCUUCUCUCUUCAUGGAAUGUUCUUCCUCCACCUACUCUGAUGACAAGCUCCCUCACCUUCAGUUCACUGCUCAAAUGUCACCUCCUCCAAGAAGACUUCCUGACCACACAAGCUGAAAUUAUUGCUCCCUGCUGCCGUUCUUCUGUUCCCUUACUCUGCUUUAUUCCCCAUUCAUGCGCUACAAUACGUGGUAUCGUAUUA